rfam:Triticum aestivum genome assembly, contig: Triticum_aestivum_CS42_TGACv1_scaffold_542638_6DS
CUUAUGCUCACUCCGUCUGGAAAUACUUGUCAUCAAAAUUGAUAAAAAAAGAUGUAUCUAGACGCAUUUUAGUUCUAGAUACAUUAUAUUUUAUCCAUUUUGAUGAUAAUUAUUUCCGGACGGAGGGAUUAGUUA